rnacentral:rRNA from 1 species
AUUGAACGCUGGCGGAAUGCUUUACACAUGCAAGUCGAACGGCAGCACGGGGCAACCUGGUGGCGAGUGGCGAACGGGUGAGUAAUACAUCGGAACGUGCCCAAUCGUGGGGGAUAACGUAGCGAAAGGUGUGCUAAUACCGCAUACGCCCUGAGGGGGAAAGCGGGGGAUCGUAAGACCUCGCGUUAAUGGAGCGGCCGAUGCCGGAUUAGCUAGUUGGUGAGGUAAAGGCUCACCAAGGCGACGAUCCGUAGCUGGUCUGAGAGGACGACCAGCCACACUGGAACUGAGACACGGUCCAGACUCCUACGGGAGGCAGCAGUGGGGAAUUUUGGACAAUGGGCGCAAGCCUGAUCCAGCCAUUCCGCGUGAGUGAAGAAGGCCUCGGGUUGUUAAAGACGUCUUUCGCAAGGAAAGAAAACUUAUACUCCUAAUACGAGGUGAGGUUGACGGCACCUUGAUAAGAAGCACCGGCUAACUACGUGCCAGCAGCCGCGGUAA